AAGAUCACUCACUGUACGGCUCGGACCAUUUCUCACCCUUCCAUUGUUCCCUCAGCUUCAGCACGAAGCCUGGGCUGGGAUCGAUCUGCUGUAGAGAAUGACGUCACCCCUCUUAUCUACCCUCAGCACUCAUCGACACAGCUCCUCUCAAGCUUAUUUACGGCAGGAUCGCGUGGCCCACAGCCAUUGUGUCUCACCACAAUGAUUACGGCAGGUUGUCUGGCUAUUUAUUUGUUGCCUUUUCCCUUAGCGGAACAUUUUUUUGCGAGGACAAGCAGGAGUUUGCCAACAAAGACGUGUUCUUCAUCCUGAAAGAGGAAUGGCUGACGGUAAACAAAACCCAUCCCCUGAGUGUCGGCUUAGAGACGCUGAGCAUGGAUACAGGAUACAGCUGGAGCAGCCCGUCGCACCCAUCCGCCGUAGACUGUCACACUGCAUUAAAAGCUAAGUGUGCUUAAAGUA